rnacentral:rRNA from 1 species
GAUGAACGCUAGCUACAGGCUUAACACAUGCAAGUCGAGGGGCAGCAUGGUCUUAGCUUGCUAAGGCCGAUGGCGACCGGCGCACGGGUGAGUAACACGUAUCCAACCUGCCGUCUACUCUUGGACAGCCUUCUGAAAGGAAGAUUAAUACAAGAUGGCAUCAUGAGUCCGCAUGUUCACAUGAUUAAAGGUAUUCCGGUAGACGAUGGGGAUGCGUUCCAUUAGAUAGUAGGCGGGGUAACGGCCCACCUAGUCUUCGAUGGAUAGGGGUUCUGAGAGGAAGGUCCCCCACCUUGGAACAGGGACACCGUCCAAACGCCUACGGGAGGCAGCAGUGAGGAAUAGUAGGCAAUGGGCGCAGGCCUGAACCAGCCAAGUAGCGUGAAGGAUGGCUGCCCUAUGGGUUGUAAACUUCUUUUAUAAAGGAAUAAAGUCGGGUAUGGAUACCCGUUUGCAUGUACUUUAUGAAUAAGGAUCGGCUAACUCCGUG